rnacentral:misc_RNA from 1 species
AGCUUCUCCUGCUUGUGCUACAGCAGACACAGGAAGACGUGAGGACAUUAAAGCUUCAAUGUCAAGACCAUGUUGCUUGACGACAGUCUCCAUAGCCCUUGAUAUUACUUGAUAAGGCAUUGAGCUCUCCUUCCCGCUGGAUCUCAUAUGUUGUAAAAUCACAUAAAGCUUUGUAGCCAAUUUAGUCGGCUCGUCCUUAGAUUCUUGAAUAAGCUUAUGGAGAAA